AACGAACGCUGGCGGCAGGCCUAACACAUGCAAGUCGAGCGAGGACUUCGGUUCUAGCGGCGGACGGGUGAGUAACGCGUGGGAAUGUGCCCUUCUCUACUGAAUAGCCCUGGGAAACUGGGAGUAAUACCGUAUACGCCCUAUUGGGGAAAGAUUUAUCGGAGAAGGAUCAGCCCGCGUUGGAUUAGGUAGUUGGUGGGGUAAUGGCCUACCAAGCCGACGAUCCAUAGCUGGUUUGAGAGGAUGAUCAGCCACACUGGGACUGAGACACGGCCCAGACUCCUACGGGAGGCAGCAGUGGGGAAUCUUAGACAAUGGGGGCAACCCUGAUCUAGCCAUGCCGCGUGAGUGAUGAAGGCCUUAGGGUUGUAAAGCUCUUUCAGCUGGGAAGAUAAUGACGGUACCAGCAGAAGAAGCCCCGGCUAACUCCGUG
rnacentral:rRNA from 1 species